GUCUGGGUCCUGCGCAAUGUGAAACUGUGAACCUCGUCAGGUCCGGAAGGAAGCAGCGAUAAGCGGAUCUUCGCAUGUGCCGCAGAUCAGCCUUUUCCGG
rnacentral:SRP_RNA from 1 species